CAGCCGCGUAAUUCCAGCUCCAAUAGCGUAUAUUAGUGUUGUUGCGGUUAAAAAGCUCGUAGUUGAAUUUCGGGAUUGGGAUAUAUCGGUCGUGCCUUUAGGGGCAUGAAUCGGUGUGUGGCCAAUUCUCACCUUCUGGUGAAUUGGGAUGCUCUCGGGUGUUUCAAUGAACUAGGACUUUUACUUUGAAAAAAUUAGAGUGUUUAAAGCGGGCAUUUUUGCUCGAAUACGUUAGCAUGGAAUAAUAAAAUAGGACGAUGGUUCUAUUUUGUUGGUUUUAGGACCACGUAAUGAUUAAUAGGGAUAGUUGGGGGCAUUAGUAUUCAAUUGUCAGAGGUGAAAUUCUUGGAUUUAUUGAGGACUAACUACUGCGAAAGCAUUUGCCAAGGAUGUUUUCAUUAAUCAAGAACGAAAGUUAGGGGAUCAAAGACGAUUUAUGUACGUCGUAGUCUUAACCAUAAACUAUGCCGACUAGGAAUCAGACAAAGUUAAUUUUUUAACGACUUGUUUGGUACCUUACG
rnacentral:misc_RNA from 1 species